rnacentral:lncRNA from 1 species
GUGUGUGUGUGGCUGGGUUGGUGACGCAAGGUGUCCAUAUGCCUGGGGUCAUUUAUUUAUUUAUUUGAGAUUUAUUUAUUUAUUGAAAGUCAGAGUUACAAUAGAGAGAAGGAGAGGCAGAGAGAGAGAGAGAGAGAAAGAGAGAGAAAGAGAGGUCUUCCAUCCCCUGGUUCACUCCUAAGUUGGCCGCAAGGGCUGGAGCUGCACUGAUCCAAAGCCAGGAACCAGGAGCUUCUUCCGGGUCUCCUAUGCGGGUGCAGGGGCUCAAGGACUUGGGCCAUCCUCUACUACUUUCCCAGGCCAUAGCAGAGAGCUGAAUCGGAAGUGGAGCAGCCAGGACUCGAACCGGUGCCCACAUGGGAUUCCGGCACUGGAGGCGGAGGCUUUACCAGCUACCCCAGAGCACUGCCCCCACGGGUCCCUUUAAAUGGCCCAGAUGUGAAGUAGAGGGUGGGGAGAAGAGGGCGCAGCUCUGAAAUGGAAGCCGAUGAGGUGAGUAGGAUGGAAAGCAACGGGACGGGGCCACGAGGGGCAGCCUGGAGGCAGGUGGUGGCAGAGGAGGUGCUGAGCGUGGGGCUGACACUAAGCUGAGCUGAGAUGAGCUGUGUCCUCACAGAACAGGGGGGAGAGAUUCCUGCUCGGCAGAGGGCAGCCCCAGGAGGUGCCAGCCGGGAGCAGGCCACUGGCGGGGACUUCAGGGCCAGGGGAGCUGUUUUCCUUUCAGACAAAUUACAUCGCUUAUCUGGGAUGAUCACCCUUACUAAUCCUGUCUGCUAAUUGUACCAAAGUUUCCCCUCUCUGCGAGUGGAUUAAGGAGUUGCAGUGACAGGACUGGGCACAGGACCCUGGAGUCCUGCCCUCACACCCUUGCGUUGACUUCGCUCGCUGCACCUGUUUCAUUCUUGUGGCGCCUGGUUUCAUCUGGUCACACUUCAAAGCAUAAACUCACAUAAAAAAGGCUAAGUUUAGCCCUAAUCGAAUAAUUGCUGUGUGCUAAAUCGUCGAGCGAUCAUUACCAGCUCCAAUUAUUGAUGACUAAGGAGCAAUGCCCUGGGAAGAGUGACCAGUUACAUAAUUGAAGCCUCAUGGAGGUUUUAAGUGAUAAUCCUGUGUGUGUACAAUUGCCUUCUUACUUCAGAGAGCUCAGCACCUGUGUCAGAUGUCCCCUGAGAAGCCGUGGAAACCCCAUUGGCCAUGGAGAUAAGCAGGCCGACCAGAUUGGUUAUGGGGGAGCCGCAUGUAAUGAGGUCCUAGUACCAGGGUAGGGAUCAUUCCAU